GCAUUGGUGGUUCAGUGGCAGGAUUCUCGUCCUCCAUGCAGAAGACCUGGGUUCGAUUCCCAGUCAGUGCA
rnacentral:tRNA from 1 species